rnacentral:rRNA from 1 species
GAUGAACGCUGGCGGCGUGCCUAAUACAUGCAAGUCGAGCGAACAGACGAGGAGCUUGCUCCUCUGACGUUAGCGGCGGACGGGUGAGUAACACGUGGAUAACCUACCUAUAAGACUGGGAUAACUUCGGGAAACCGGAGCUAAUACCGGAUAAUAUAUUGAACCGCAUGGUUCAAUAGUGAAAGACGGUUUUGCUGUCACUUAUAGAUGGAUCCGCGCCGCAUUAGCUAGUUGGUAAGGUAACGGCUUACCAAGGCAACGUUGCGUAGCCGACCUGAGAGGGUGGUCGGCCACACUGGAACUGAGACACGGACCAGACUCCUACGGGAGGCAGCAGUAGGGAAUCUUCCGCAAAAGGCGAAAGCCUGACGGAGCAACGCCGCGUGAGUGAUGAAGGUCUUCGGAUCGUAAAACUCUGUUAUUAGGGAAGAACAAAUGUGUAAGUAACUAUGCACGUCGUGACGGUACCUGAUCAGAAAGCCACGGCUAACUACGUG